rnacentral:rRNA from 1 species
AAUAUUGCACAAUGGGGGAAACCCUGAUGCAGUCCAUGCCGCGUGUGUGAAGAAGGCCUUUCGGGUUGUAAAAGCACUUUUCAGUAGGGAGGUAAGGUAGUGUAGUUAACACCUGCACUAUUUGACGUUACCUACAGAAGAAGCACCGGCUAACUCCGUGCCAGCAGCCGCGGUAAUACGGAGGGUGCGAGCGUUUAAUCGGAAUUACUGGGCGUAAAAGCGCAUGCAGGCGGCCUGUUAAGUCAGAUGUGAAAGCCCGGGGCUUAACCUCGGAAUUGCAUUUGAAACUGGCAGGCUAGAGUCUUGUAGAGGGGGUAGAAUUUCAGGUGUAGCGGUGAAAUGCGUAGAGAUCUGAAGGAAUACCAGUGGCGAAGGCGGCCCCCCUGGACAAAGACUGACGCUCAGAUGCGAAAGCGUGGGGAGCAAACAGGAUUAGAUACCCCUGGUAG